AUAAAAGAGGGAUGCAACAC
rnacentral:siRNA from 1 species